UACAGAGGGUGCAAGCGUUAAUCGGAAUUACUGGGCGUAAAGCGUGCGUAGACGGUUGCGUAAGUCAGGUGUGAAAGCCCCCGGCUCAACCGGGGAACAGCAUUUGAUACUGGCAGACUCGAGGAUGGUAGGGGUGAGUGGAACUCCAGGUGGAGCGGUGAAAUGCGUAGAUAUCUGGAGGAACACCGGUGGCGAAAGCGGCUCACUGGACCAUAACUGACGCUGAGGUGCGAAAGCUAGGGUAGCAAACGGG
rnacentral:rRNA from 1 species